rnacentral:tRNA from 2 species
GCGGGCGUAGCUCAGUCGGUUAGAGUGCCGGCCUGUCACGCCGGAGGUCGCGGGUUCGAGUCC